UACGUAGGGGCUAGCGUUAUCCGGAAUUACUGGGCGUAAAGGGUGCGUAGGCGGUCUUUCAAGCCAGAAGUGAAAGGCUACGGCUCAACCGUAGUAAGCUUUUGGAACUGUAAGACUUGAGUGCAGGAGAGGAGAGUGGAAUUCCCAGUGUAGCGGUGAAAUGCGUAGAGAUUGGGAGGAACACCAGUGGCGAAGGCGACUUACUGGGCCGUAACUGACGUUGAGGCGCGAAAGCGUGGGGAGCGAACAGGAUUAGAUACCCUGGUAGUCCCUGAGCGGG
rnacentral:rRNA from 1 species